CCUACGGGCGGCAGCAGUGGGGAAUAUUGGGCAAUGGGCGCAAGCCUGACCCAGCAACGCCGCGUGAAGGAAGAAGGCUUUCGGGUUGUAAACUUCUUUUCUCAGGGACGAAGAAAGUGACGGUACCUGAGGAAUAAGCCACGGCUAACUACGUGCCAGCAGCCGCGGUAAUACGUAGGUGGCAAGCGUUAUCCGGAUUUAUUGGGUGUAAAGGGCGUGUAGGCGGGAGCGCAAGUCAGAUGUGAAAACUCAGGGCUCAACCCUGAGCCUGCAUUUGAAACUGUGUUUCUUGAGUACUGGAGAGGCAAGCGGAAUUCCGUGUGUAGCGGUGAAAUGCGUAGAUAUACGGAGGAACACCAGUGGCGAAGGCGGAUUGCUGGACAGUAACUGACGCUGAGGCGCGAAAGCGUGGGGAGCAAACAGGAUUAGAUACCCGUGUAGUC
rnacentral:rRNA from 1 species